GUAUUUCCUCAACCAUGUGUUGUGUGCGGUCUUGAUUGAUUUCAAGACUCCCUUCUGCAUGGCUUGGAGUUUGGGAGUUUGCUGGCUCUGUCAGCUCUUCUGAAAUGCAUUAGCAAAAGGGACGAGGCGUGUCUUUGGGGCGUGCACGGCCUUCGACGUGAUAAUGAAUCCGUCGUGGCUGGAGCGUUCCUUGACCAUGCAUCGAACUAGGACCUUGUUGCUUCCAACCUGUGUACUACUAUUAUUUUGGCG
rnacentral:misc_RNA from 1 species